UACGUAGGUGGCAAGCGUUGUCCGGAUUUACUGGGCGUAAAGGGCGCGUAGGUGGAUAUUUAAGUGGGAUGUGAAAUACUCGGGCUUAACCUGGGUGCUGCAUUCCAAACUGAAUAUCUAGAGUGCAGGAGAGGAAAGUAGAAUUCCUAGUGUAGCGGUGAAAUGCGUAGAGAUUAGGAAGAAUACCAGUGGCGAAGGCGACUUUCUGGACUGUAACUGACACUGAGGCUCGAAAGCGUGGGGAGCAAACAGG
rnacentral:rRNA from 1 species